ensembl:snRNA U6 U6 spliceosomal RNA
GUGCUCACUUCAGUAGCAUGUACACUAAAAUUGUAACAACACCCAGAAGAUUAAUAUGGCCCUUGUGCAAGGGUGACUGACACACAAAUUUGUAAAGCAUCCCGUAUUACCAUAUUUUU